GCCUCAAUAGCUCAGCUGGUCAGAGCACAUGACUGUUAAUCAUGGGGUCCUAGGUUCAAAUCCUAGUUGAGGCGCCA
rnacentral:tRNA from 1 species